rfam:Desulfotomaculum gibsoniae DSM 7213, complete genome.
UAGAUUGGCCACGGGGAUACUUUCGCCAUGGCUUUCGGUCACGAAAUGGCUUCCGGGAUGGGUGGAGUCCGUACUGCCGGAGAUCUGGUAGCACGUGUUA